rnacentral:rRNA from 1 species
GAUGAACGCUGGCGGCGUGCCUAAUACAUGCAAGUCGAGCGAACAGAUAAGGAGCUUGCUCCUUUGACGUUAGCGGCGGACGGGUGAGUAACACGUGGGUAACCUACCUAUAAGACUGGAAUAACUCCGGGAAACCGGGGCUAAUGCCGGAUAAUAUGUUGAACCGCAUGGUUCUACAGUGAAAGGCGGUUUUGCUGUCACUUAUAGAUGGACCCGCGCCGGAUUAGCUAGUUGGUGAGGUAACGGCUCACCAAGGCAACGAUUGGUAGCCGACCUGAGAGGGAGAUCGGCCACACGGGAACUGAGACACGGUCCAGACUCCUAGGGGAGGAAGCAGUAGGGAAUCUUCCGCAAUGGGCGAAAGCCUGACGGAGCAACGCCGCGUGAGUGAUGAAGGUCUUCGGAUCGUAAAACGCUGCUAUUAGGGAAGAACAAAUGCGUAAGUAACUGUGCGCGUCUUGACGGUACCUAAUCAGAAAGCCACGGCUAACUACGUG